AGCACCAAGAAUGGGUAAG
rnacentral:snRNA from 1 species